GACGAACCGUGCGACGGUUAUUCGGAAUUACUGGGCUUAAAGCGCGUGUAGGCGGGCCGGCACGUCGGUCGCUGAAAGCCCCCGGCUCAACCGGGGAAGCGGCGCCGAUACGACCGGCCUGGAGGGGGGUAGGGGGACCUGGAACUUCCGGUGGAGCGGUGAAAUGCGUUGAGAUCGGAAGGAACGCCCGUGGCGAAAGCGAGGUCCUGGACCCUUUCUGACGCUGAGGCGCGAAAGCCAGGGGAGCGAACGGG
rnacentral:rRNA from 1 species